CUUUGAUCUUAUUUAUUGAAGUUGUCUUUGUGAAAUAUGUUCCUUUUAAAAGUCAGUUAUUAGAAGUUCAGAAUAAUGAGACCAUUAAAAUAACUCAGCACAGGCUGGGAUCAAUUAAAAUAAAUGGGGAGGAAUAAGGACCUUAAGAACAAGUUGCUUCAUCAGGGAAUUCAGCACUCAGCUGUGCCUACCUUGGCUUCAGCAUAUACAGCACGUAUAUUCCUACUGUCUGGACUCAGAGUUGUAUAUAGCUGAAUGUCAUGGGUAUUGAAUCAACUAAAACGUAGUAUAUAACUUUUUUAAGGUAGAAAGAUUGUUUUUAAAAAGCACAGUGUGUUCCAUUACACUGACAAGGAAUUUAAUGGUCUCUUUCUUUUACAGCCAGAUGUAAUUGUUGUAUCAGCUCUCCAGGUAUAUAAGCACACGCUGAAGUUUAUUUUGAUCCAGUAAAUCAGGUAUUUAAGGCUAGACUAUUCACAGGGCUGAACGUCUUUCAGUGGGAUUUGGGGAAUUUAACCUCCUUUUGUUGAAAAUUGCAGCCAAAGUACUUAACUGGAUAGGGAUGAACAAGCUUAACUGGAAUUUUUUAAGCUCACCAAAUCUGCUGCUUUCUUCCCAAAGUAGAACUAAAUAUAAAGGGGAGACAUUGCCGAAUACCUUACAUAGGGAGAUUUUUUUUUUUUUUUUCUGAUGAGACAUAAACCAACAAAGCAAUUAUCAGCAUGAAGAAGAGAUCCAGAAAGAAACACAGCAGCAAGAGAAUAAAACUUGGAGGAGGAAAUCAGAUGCACAGUGUCCCUUGUGGCUUGAAAGUAGGGACACAUCUGGCAUUAAAUACACUUGUGAUGGUGCCAACUGAAUGCACACACGCCACAACCUGCCUGAUGCUCCGAAGUGUGGGCGAGACAUUCGGUACCACAGGAAAUUGAUAAAAAAACAAGUAGCUGGAACAGGU
rnacentral:lncRNA from 1 species